rnacentral:lncRNA from 1 species
AUUAAUUGUCGCUAAAGGGCCCUAUAGCGACUGGCCCGACGCUAUAGGUGUUAUUGGCCUUUUCUUCAUCAAGCCCAGAACUUCAUCGCCAGUCACCAAGGUAGGAGGGUUAACCGACUUUAAAUUCUUUGUUAUUAAGAUUUCUGGGCAGAUAGAGUAUCAAGAUCGUAGUAUCCAUGUAAUACUACAACUGAAAUCCAGUUUCUAGGUCAUUACACAACAUCACAGCACGAUCUAAGCUAGUAAAAUGUCUUACAACGUUGUUCUUCAUUUUUUGGGUUUUCCAGAAAAUGAAGAACAGACGUAGGUGCCACUUUGUUCCUUUUAAUCUACACAUCUCCGGCUUGUUUAGGGUGUUUGAUUGAUUAAGUCAUGUAGUAUUGAUGGCAGUGUACAAUUUCAUAACACUAGAUCAUAACAAAAACAUCACACAAGACAGAUUUAAGCCGGUCAAACUGGUAGUCAGAAAACACCCGUUGAAGAUCUGGGUUACCUAGAAUCUUCUUCCGGUCGUGAUGGUCAACGCUAGUUUGACCCUACUUUAAUCCAAUUCCGUGUAUGAUCUAAGUGAUAUAAUGACUUUAAUAUGUAGUCUACAUAUCCGACUACAAACUGAAAACAAAAACAUGGCCAAACAAUCAAACUACUGUAAGAUCUAGAGCUUGCAAAUCCUUGUCAGACGAGAUCUGGGUUUCUGGGCUGCCUAGAACCCAGUUUUUGUGAACGGUCAACGAGUUUUGACCACGUAUAACUUCUAAUCUACACAUGAUAUGAGCAUGUUUCCAAUUACAGAUCAUAGUCCACAUGACAUACUACAUAUAUAUAACUUAAAACAAGAAAAAUCAAAAACAGAAAGAGAUCUAUGGCCACUGACAUUAGCUAGCUUGUGAGGUGACAUUUUUAGGGUUCUAAGUCAGUUUUAAAAAUCUUGAUUUCAUGCAUCUUGAUGUUAUGGAUCCAUGAUCCAACAACCCAGAUCAUUAAAAUACACCCUAUUACACAUAUCUAACCAAUCAAUUACAACAUCUAACAAUAUAUCUAAGGAUUUCGAAAAUUAGGGUUUAUACCUCUUUAGAGUUUGAUUUUUGAUUCUGACUUUUGGUUGCUGUUCUUGGCUUGAUAAGAGGCUAACAUAGCUUAACUUUUCUCUCUAUCUCACUCUAGAUUUUGAAGAUGAAGAGAGAGGAUGGGUUUGGAGAAAAUGAAAAGUCAAGUGGUCUUUCUCUCUCUCUAAUCUUUAUAUUAUGCAUGAUAAAAUGUAUGUUGUCUAGCAAAUUGGCUGAGAUAUAAUAGAUAUAAAUAUUGAGUUGGUGUGGUUGGUGAACAACUUCAACUUUGCUAGAUUCACAAGUUAGCUCAAAUAAUGCACAAAAGGGUAUAAAUGUCAUUUCCUUACCAUUUUAUUUCUAGCAUUGACAUUUGUUGCAAACCCUAAGGUUUAGGGUUUGAAACACCUUAAGGU